GGAUAGCCUUCCGAAAAGGGAGAUUUAAUACAAGAUGGUGUUGAAAUUCCGCAUGUUAUUUCAACUAAAGAUUUAUCGGUAACGGAUGGGGAUGCGUGACAUUAGAUAGUAGCGGGGUAACGGCCCACCAAGGCGACGAUCGUUAGGGGUUCUGAGAGGAAGGUCCCCCACACUGGAACUGAGACACGGUCCAGACUCCUACGGGAGGCAGCAGUGAGGAAUAUUGGUCAAUGGGCGGGAGCCUGAACCAGCCAAGUAGCGUGAAGGAUGACUGCCCUACGGGUUGUAAACUUCUUUUGUUUGGGAAUAAAAGACGCUACGUGUAGCGUUCUGCAUGUACCUUACGAAUAAGCAUCGGCUAAUUCCGUG
rnacentral:rRNA from 1 species